UGGGACGUGGACCUCCAUCUAUUACCUUGUCCCCGGGCCCGCAAAUAUUAAGGGCAGUCUGCUAAAUUCACCUUGCUCUGUGCAUCAGACUUUGGAGCCGUGCAGAUAUUUUACAUGACUAUGAAGUGAAAUUUUAUUUAUGAAAUUAAUUUUAUUAAGAAGAAGGCAAAAGGAGAGAAGAGAGCUGAACUGAGUUUUGAACCAGUUGGCAUUACCGCCCGGAGAGGAACUAUUUCAAGGGACCAUAAAACACAGUGAUUUAAAGCUACGUCCCGGGCUAGGCUGUAUUCUGAGAACAAAAGAACUGCAAAACAUUUUUUAAAACUCUAGUCACUGAUUCUAUUGCUCGUGGUAGUGCCAGGCAUUUUUAUCCUGAGACUAUUGUGCAUACAUCAUGGAGCAGAGCACACGGGUUCUUCAGUGGGUGUCACUGCGGACCGCACUCUUGGCACGGAAGGAAGGAAGGAAGGAUGCGUGUACACGUAAGGAGGCCCAGCCUCAGUUUCUCUGCCGCAGCUGGGGCUGCUCUCUUGUCUGCCAGCCACUGGCCUAGUCACAGAAAACCGGACCUGCCCCCCGGGGAGACAGCAGACCGUCGCUCCCAAAUCCACAAGGAGGACCGUACUGUGCCUGAGUCACAGGAAAGUACAAAUACUAAACCAUAUCAACGUCAUUCACUGAAAAGGGUAGAAAAAAUAUAAAAUCGAGACAACUUCAGGAAUUGAGCGUGCAGGAUCCCUGUCCUGCACAGCUUGGGCUGCCCUCGGCCUCUCUCUCUGCGUCUCUUCAGGGACGGCUGCCACUCCUUCUCUGGGUAGAAUCAACACACAUGGCCACAGAACUUUCCAGACUCACUGUCCUCUCAUCCUUCCUCCUGGGCUCCGUUUUUAAAUUCUCUGAGAUUUUCAUUUUCUCUGCUCGGAGUCCUCUCUUUUCUCCGAUACUAGAGAACUGGAGCCCUGGAAGCCAGUAGCUCAUGGAUGAAGAGUCCGAAUGAUCACAUUCGUCCCGUCUUAGAGACGCAGUGGGAGCCGUGGGCAGGGUGUGCGGCCCGGCGUGACUUCCACGGGCACCGCCUCCCACCGACUGUGGGCCGCUGUGUGUGCCGAGGUGCUCCCCUGCCACCUCGGGGGCCUGCUUCGACAGUUAAUGAGUUAGCUCUCAUUACGUGGGGUUAGCAAAUGUCACUAUUCUCUGACAGCCCAUCUCGGGGCCCCGGCUGUCAGCGUAGAUCUGCUCAGUAAACAUUUGCUGUUUGAAUAAAUGUGUCCUUCAUGCCA
rnacentral:lncRNA from 12 species